rnacentral:misc_RNA from 2 species
AACGCACCUUGCGCUCCUUGGUAUUCCGAGGAGCAUGCCUGUUUGAGUGUCUCGAAAUCAUCAACCCCUACCGCUUUUGCGGGAAGAGUUGGAGCUGGGGCGUGCUGCCGUCACAAGCGGCUCCCCCGAAAUGCAUCGGUUUGGCCUGUGGGUCGGACUCGACUGGGCGUUGUAUCAUCCUCGCUCUACCGAGAAGUUCCCCUAUCGUGCCGCAACCCCGACCUGCCUAUCGAGCGGCGGUCACUUUACUUUGAAAUCUGACCUCAAAUCAGGUAGGACUACCCGCUGAACUUAA